rnacentral:rRNA from 1 species
CAGCAGCCGCGGUAAUACGUAGGUCCCGAGCGUUGUCCGGAUUUAUUGGGCGUAAGGGGAGCGCAGGCGGUUUAGUAAGUCUGAAGUUAAAGGCAUUGGCUCAACCAAUGUAUGCUUUGGAAACUGUUAGACUUGAGUGCAGAAGGGGAGAGUGGAAUUCCAUGUGUAGCGGUGAAAUGCGUAGAUAUAUGGAGGAACACCGGUGGCGAAAGCGGCUCUCUGGUCUGUCACUGACGCUGAGGCUCGAAAGCGUGGGUAGCGAACAGGAUUAGAUACCCGUGUAGUCCCUGUCUCUUAUACA